rnacentral:rRNA from 1 species
UUNUGAACUGGGUGACUAGAGUGUNUCAGAGGGAGGUAGAAUUCCACGUGUAGCAGUGAAAUGCGUAGAGAUGUGGAGGAAUACCGACGGCGAAGGCAGCCUCCUGGGAUANCACUGACGUUCAUGCUCGAAAGCGUGGGUAGCAAACAGGAUUAGAUACCCUGGUAGUNCACGCCCUAAACGAUGUCAAUUAGCUGUUGGGCAACUUGAUUGCUUAGUAGCGUAGCUAACGCGUGAAAUUGACCGCCUGGGGAGUACGGUCGCAAGAUUAAAACUCAAAGGAAUUGACGGGGACCCGCACAAGCGGUGGAUGAUGUGGAUUAAUUCGAUGCAACGCGAAGAACCUUACCUGGUCUUGACAUGUACGGAAUCCUCCAGAGACGGAGGAGUGCCUUCGGGAGCCGUAACACAGGUGCUGCAUGGCUGUCGUCAGCUCGUGUCGUGAGAUGUUGGGUUAAGUCCCGCAACGAGCGCAACCCUUGUCAUUAGUUGCCAUCAUUUAGUUGGGCACUCUAAUGAGACUGCCGGUGACAAGCCGGAGGAAGGUGGGGAUGACGUCAAGUCCUCAUGGCCCUUAUGACCAGGGCUUCACACGUCAUACAAUGGUCGGUACAGAGGGUAGCCAAGCCGCGAGGUGGAGCCAAUCUCACAAAACCGAUCGUAGUCCGGAUUGCACUCUGCAACUCGAGUGCAUGAAGUCGGAAUCGCUAGUAAUCGCAGGUCAGCAUACUGCGGUGAAUACGUUCCCGGGUCUUGUACACACCGCCCGUCACACCAUGGGAGUGGGGGAUACCAGAAGUAGGUAGGGUAACCGUAAGGGGCCCG